AGUGGCCUACGGGGCGCAGCAGUGGGGAAUAUUGCACAAUGGGGGAAACCCUGAUGCAGCGACGCCGCGUGAGCGAGGAAGUACCUCGGUAUGUAAAGCUCUGUCAGCAGGGAAGAAAACGACAGUACCUGACCAAGAAGCCCCGGCUAACUACGUGCCAGCAGCCGCGGUAAUACGUAUGGAGCAAGCGUUAUCCGGAUUUACUGGGUGUAAAGGGAGAGUAGGUGGCAGAGCAAGUCCGAAGUGAAAACCCAAAGCUCAACUACGGGAAUGCUUUAGAAACUGCUCAGCUAGAGUGCAGGAGG
rnacentral:rRNA from 1 species